UGUGACGCGGUGCUUGGAAAAUUGAUGUUGCUCGAUCAAAUUCUCUUUCGUAGCCGAAAGUACCCGAAGUCGCGCUCGGCUCUUUCGGGUGUCCACAUAGAAAAUGGAGUUUAAGCGAAGCAAGCGAAGCAGCUAUUCGCCAUCGUUGAUGGGCGCACAACGACGGUUCUGAGCUGGCUGUGCCGUGUAUCUUGUGAAAAACGUGUAUUUUUGUGCUUAAUGCGAGCGAGAAGUGCGUCGAGAUUUUACAAAAUGUCAUCCGCACAAGUCGAUCGACCCACCAAAGUGGGCCAUAUCAACAAGAAGGAUAACGAGAAAUCAAGGAAGACAUUCAAUCCUUCUCACAAGAAGCAUAAGCACGAAGAUAGUCGCCACUUCAAGUUUGGACGCAAACGUCUACAGAGUUUCUCUAGCAAUGGUAAAUUCUUUCCGCCAUAUAAACGUAGAAAGAAGGAGGGUGCUAUUAUUCCGCCAACAAAGUUUCUACUCGGUGGCAAUAUAUGCGAUCCGUUGAAUUUAAACAGCAUGCAAGACGAAGAAAUAAAUAGAGCCAUGAAUGCUGUUACGCCUAAGUCUAGCCCCCUUCCCACGCCUAAGCACAAAAAAGAGGUUAUAGAAGUUAUCAUACCUCCGAAUAUCUGUGAUCCUCUGAAUUUGAAUAACUGUAACGACAAUGACAAUGACGAAUACGAAAAGCAACUUAUAUCUCCUACGAAAAAGGGUUCUAAACGCAGAAACAGGAAGAAAAAACGAGCAUCUUCGGGUUCUGGCAAAGAUGAUGCAAGCGAUCCAGCUGAAACCAAAAGUAAAGAUUGCAUUGCAACCGAUAUUACGGAACCCAUGGAGCUGAUUGCACCGGAAACUGCCGAGACCGAACAACAGCGUGCAUCGUUAAACUCGCCACCAAUCAACCAACCUAAGGAAUCGAAACCAGAGAGUCCACAAAAGGACAAAAAUAAAUUGCGUUUGAAAGGUUUGGAAGAACCCAAGGAUAAGAGAUUACGAAAAGUUGAUGUCAAAGAUAAAAUAGUAAGUCCCGUCAUUCCUCAACCUGGAGCAUGGAAGCCUAGACCGCAACAUCGGCCCAGCCAGGAUAAGAAAAAAAAGCAAAUAAUGCCAAAUUUCAGAGAGAAGGACGCACGUUAUCAGUAUGGUAACUAUAAUAGGUACUACGGAUACCGAAAUUUUCAACAAGAAUUGGACACAAGACUGACAGUAUUUGCACAACGUAAAGAAUUAUUUAUUGGGAAAGAUGUACUCGAUAUUGGGUGCAAUAUUGGCCAUAUUACUCUGUCUGUUGCAAGAGAUUUCUCUGCUCGCAGCGUUACUGGUAUCGACAUCGAUAGAACGCUCAUCAAUAUUGCUCGAAAAAAUGUGAAACGUUACGUUAAUUGCGUACAAUCUCCCGCUGGUAACGGAGACGAUGAUCACCAGGAUGUGAACUUCUUUCCGAUAUCUAUGCCGAUCAAUUAUGGACCAGUUGAUAUUCCCGGUUUCACAAAGAGUAAGAACCACAAAGGGUUCCCUCAUAAUGUCACUUUUGUGCAGGGUAAUUACGUGCUUGAGAACGAUGCUCUCCUGUGCACGGAACAACCUCAGUUCGACACGAUUCUAUGUUUGUCGAUCACCAAAUGGAUACACUUAAAUUUUGGAGAUGCUGGUCUCAAACAGGCUUACAAACGUAUGUUUGCACAGUUACGUCCAGGUGGUGUCUUAGUAUUGGAACCUCAAGGUUGGAGCAGUUACGCUAGGAAAAAAAAUCUUACCGAGCGGAUAUACAAAAAUUACCAGAGUAUCGAGUUUCGACCGCACAACUUCACGCAGUACCUGCUGUCCGCCGAAGUUGGCUUUUCCAAGUGCGAAGUACUGUCGAUUCCUCCGCAUCCAUCGAAAGGCUUUCAACGACCAAUUCACUUGUUCACCAAAGCUGGCCCAGCACAAGAAACUACGGAGAAUCCGACUGCAAGCACGUUAAAUAGACAAGAGCGAAGCGAUGAGGUCAGAAGAAAAGUGGAGCGUAGGAAGUACGAACAGAAGCUCUUUAAAAAAGACGAUAGCGAAUUUCAGGAGGGAAACAUGUCGGGAGUCAAUCAACAGAGUAACGAGUGCAUGAGUCAAUACGAACAAUUGGAGAACGCUUAUGCGCCUAGCACAACACCGUGUUACGACACACCGGGACACAACGAUAGUCAGCCAUCGGACGCGUCAAAAAUGUGUUACUUGGACGUUAGCAUCGAGAGUGAUAAAAGUGUGUCAGAGAACCAAAACUCUUCGGAUAAACAAACUCAUCAACCGCGUGAUAACUCUACGACAGAGCAUCUCAAGUUACGGAAACGAAGUAUCAACACAGCAAAUGAUGUGUACAAUAUAGAUACAAAAAAGAUGAAAAAACUGGACAACACUACGAGGAGGAAAGAAACUACGAUGGAGGAAACAUCUCAUGGAUUGAUUUCUGCAAACGAAAAUGUAAAAAGAUUGGAGCAGGAGCAGCUGGGAAAGGACGAAUUAAAUACCGAAUCGGUAGUCGAUGAAGAUUUGAGUAACUUUAACAACAAGGAUACGAGGAUCACGAAACAGAGGGAAGGGGAAACUGAAUCGAGGAGUCCGUGCAAGGAAGAACAAACAGAAAGGCAACGCUGCGAACUGACCUCGGACAACACAGAGAUUGAGAGAGAAAAGGAAACGCUAAAAGCCGAGAUCGUCGAGUUUAUUGUGGCGAAACAAUCCGGACGAGAUGUCGGUGUUGUCGAAAAAAGUAUUAUUAUAUCGUGGAACGUUCGCUCGUUACGCAGCUGUGACUGGUACACGGAAAGAUUGAGAAGCGUGGAGGAUUUUUAAACGACGUAGUCGCUAUUGUGACCUAGUUUACACUGUACGCAUUUUUGAUACGCGGAUUACAAUAGCGCGAGCUAAGAAUGCAAUUCAACCGAUGAAAUUAUAGCGAAAAUGCCUAGCUUAUCAAACUUGUACAAAGUUGACGUUUUUUCAGAGGUACAUGAAAAUGAAUUUGGAUGAACAUGUUAAGGUACGCCUUUGGAAGUAAUCGAUUUGCAUCAAACAAGCGAUAAUAAUGAAGUACUCGAUACGCGUAUCGAAUGCAAGGUGUGAACUAAGUCUGUGCAAAAAGUUCCUCGGUGAAAACGGUAAUAGAGAGAGAAAAGAGGAAGGCAAGAAAACCGCAAAACCUUCUGGAAGCUUUUAGCUUCCUUAUCGUAUUAUCUAGUCUGCGUGCAUCACGGAGAAGGAACGAAAUGGUCGCAACAACGGUCACUUGUUUGCUCGAGCGGAAUUUUCCUCUCGAUUCGGAAUUGUCCCUCGCGCCCAGGAACGUUUCCGUUCCAUCUGUACAUUGUGCGUAAUUUUCUGCAAUCGAUCGAUCGUUCUCGUCGAUGUUUCAGAUGAUCGUACGUUUUCUUUGUUACAGUGCAACGUCGAUCGGUUAACGACGCGAUUAAACACGCCAGAAGUAUGCUAAGAAUCGAAGAAAAUACGAUAAGAGCCCCGUUUGACCGCGAUACUCGAGUCAAUUGGUUUCUCUUUCGAUGAUAAUGGCUAACGAGUCUUCUUCGAGGAUACUGUCCGAAAAUGUAAACAAGAAAUUUACUUUAUCGAAUCGUCUAAAGUGGAAAGACUUCUUAGGAAACUGUUUCAGUAUUUUCUUUGCUAUUUCGAAUCGAAGGAAAAUGGUUUUAGAAGAGGAACGGAGCGCGUACAGUCGACGGAGCGACGACGAAAUAGCACAAAUCGAUUCCGGGCGCAAUCACUUUUCCAUGUUGUGUUUGAGAGAACGAGAACAAGAUGAACCACUUAGACGCUUACCAGGAACACUCAUAGUGUAAGAAUCAGAUUAAUAAUAAAGAAUCGCUUUGAAUCACGAACUGUGUUUCAUCUGUCUUCGCGCGAGGACCUACUACGUGUAUAGUUACACUGGUAUGGAAAGAUUUGGUGGCGGAGAUCAAACCAUCGUGUAUCUAACGUGCUGAAUUUAUUGUAGUAAGAUAGCUUCUCUACACUAUUACGACUUCACGCUAAAGAUUACGGGUAGGGGAUCGUUUAAAUUCUUUUCGUAUUUUGUUUUGUUUUUUUUUUUCAGGGCGCAUCGAAGACCAAAAUUCAGUCCUGCCUGCAAUCGUGAUACGUCGACAAUGCACAAUCUUUAAUUAUACGUAUUUAUACGUAACACAUUAAUCCAUUUGCAUCAACGAUGCACGUCUACGAUGUUCGAGUUUUUGUUUAUCAAGCAAUCACAAAAUCUUCUCUACCUCUAACAUCUUCGACAAGAACAAAAAGGAAAAGGCUCUGUACGCCUCCUGGGCAACACGAGCCGAAUAGAAAUUGGAUGAUGCAAAUGAUUUAAUAAAAAAUUGUUCACACACUACGCAAACGUACGAACACUGUACGCGUUAAAGGUGCCGUAUUAGGGAUCAUACGUGUUACAGUCGAGCUUCGGUAUUAAUUAUCGAUAGAUAUCGUUUUGACUGGUUAUCUUUUACGAAAUUACAGCGUAGAACGUAAAAAACAGUUCCAGCAAUGUGUCAACAAGGUUCAUGCUGGCUCGCAGCUCGAGAUAUAGUCGGUACGAAAUCGAGUAGUCUCCGAAGGUCACCGACAAACGUUACCCAUUCUACUUCCGAUCUAUCCUCUCGGCUGUAGCUUACCGUAAAAGUGGACGGGCUGAAAACAUUUCCAUAUUCGUUUCUAUACACUAACGGAUUAGAAAUGUUCUAAUUAACAAGCACACAAGAUCGCGUUACAUUGAAAUUAAUUUUCGUAUUUAUCGAACAAUCCGACGAUAAAAGUGGAGGAAGUGACCUCGAGGCUAAUUGAUUUCGUUCCGAUGGUGGCGCCGAUUUAGGCGGCAUAGCGGACGACGCGAAUGAAAUUUCGAACUCGAUGCCUUGGCAGUGACGAUCCCGUGCUUACGGCGACUAACAAUGGACAAAUCAUCGUGCCAUCGUUUGCAUCUACCACUAUAAACGGGUGUGUGAACAAGGGAGGACGACGGAGAGCCGCGUUGACCCGCAACAGCAUUUUCUCUAAAAUCUUCGAAACAACGAAGAAGUGAACAAGCACGAACCGUCGUGCCACGUAAUGGGAGGGUGCGUAUGUUUUGCAUUUUUUGUUAUCGUUUGAAAUAUUUCUUGCCUCCCAAGGUUCGUUCACGUCUAUUUUCGUUGCUUAAGGACUACCAAGGGGCGCCAGCGCCCCGAUCGCACACUCCUGAACGUGCGCGUUGUUACUUUUUAUUUCUACGGAGCCAGAGACAGGCGAAAUUCUCAUGCGAAAGAUCGACAACUUUUCGAGAUAUUUGUCGAAUCAAAAUUAUAAUCCGAAUCAUAAAAUGUACGUUAUGUCGAACGAAUAAGUAAAGGCUUAUUUGAAUAACGAUUCAAUGGAACGAACGUUACGAAUAAAUUACCUUAUCAUGCUUUUAUUCGUUGUCCAUCGUUCGAACAGAAUUUUGCCCGUCUCUGCUAAGGACACGCGUGAUGCGUAUGGCUAUUUCGUAUUGUUUUGUCGUUUACGCCUUUUAAACGCGUGUACUGUAACGCUAUAGCGCGAUAACGUUAUCGUUAUCGAGUUGUUAUCUUUGGAUGCGUACGUUAGAGAAGUUGAAACGUUUGGAAGAAGGGAAAGAAAACGGAUCCUCUUCCUCCUCGUUUAUUUUCGUCGCUGAUCGGUUCUUUUGCCCCUGAAGCGUUACGCGAGAUACGCGCAAGAUGUUGCCACUAAGUGUCAUUGUUUUCUUACAUGUUAAGAAGAAUCAUCCAUAAUUAUUCUACCGAUAUCGACGGCUCCAGGGAACAAGCGCUGACCGUCAGCGUUACCGUCAUCGACUCGAAAACGUGAAAAAAUAUCCCUCUCUGGGAACGGUACACUACCACGUAAAGUGUAGUGCUACAGCAACAGCGCUAAACAGUUCCAGCGUCUGUAAAUCGUUUUCUAGCACCAGCUAUGUUGACAAACCCAUCGGGAGUCCAGAAUGAUAAAAUUCGAAACGCUGGAGGCGCGUUACCGAACGAUAAGAUAAACGUUCGCUUGCUCGGUGUCGGUAUUAAAAAC